AUGAGUGUUUGGACUAAAUAAUUUUGUUUGGAAAAUAAAAACUUAGAAAUUUUUGACGAUUGAUGAGCUUGCGCGAGCCUCGACAGAGGGCGGAGAUUUCUCGUUU